rnacentral:lncRNA from 1 species
GUCACUCAAUUUUCAUAAAUUUUUAUUUUAAAUAUUGAAAAUAAAAAAUUUACAAAAUGAGAACUAACAUUACAUAAUUUAAGGGUAAAUUACGCGUGUCAUUCCCAUAAGAUACUAGGUGGACACUUGAAAACAGUUCUCCAACUCCAGUCCGCUGGUAUUUUCUCAAGUACUCAACCUUUCAGACCUAUCUAUCCACUGUGAAGACCACCCAUCUUGAGGAAGAACAUCUCCUUCCAUCAAGCUACCCACUCAACAAAGUCUGACUUUUCAAUGUGAACACUCUUCUAAAAAAACAAUUAGGGUUCGCUUAGGCAUAACAACCUCCUACAUCCUCAAAAGGCAUAACAGAAUAGAUCCCCUUAUACAUGUCUCUAACAUAUUCCAUAUUGAUGGUAACAAUCUUACCAUGUCACCACUAUUAAACAAG